CAAAGCGCCGGACGGCCAUGUCGUGUGCGCUGUCGGCAGUAUUUCGCAUUUACGUCGAGUUUUAGGCGGGUGCCAGUGUUCAUGGUGUUAUCUGAGUGAUCGGUAAGCCUCUUUUCGCGGUAUAUCGUGCAACCGUAGCGGCCGGAGCUUCAGGAGCGGUGAGAUGCCGUCGGCCGGCGUCGUCAGCGUGCUGGUGCUGGCCGGCCUACUGGCUCAGCUGGCCUGCUGUCUGGAGGACCUGCUGCUGGCUCCAGAGCACGUGAAGGAGCUGACCUGCGG